rnacentral:rRNA from 1 species
GACGAACGCUGGCGGCGUGCUUAACACAUGCAAGUCGAACGGAAAGGCCCUGCUUUUGUGGGGUGCUCGAGUGGCGAACGGGUGAGUAACACGUGAGUAACCUGCCCUUGACUUUGGGAUAACUUCAGGAAACUGGGGCUAAUACCGGAUAGGAGCCCCCGCUGGAUGGGGGGGGGUGGAAAGUUUCGGCGGUUGGGGAUGGACUCGCGGCUUAUCAGCUUGUUGGUGGGGUAGUGGCUUACCAAGGCUUUGACGGGUAGCCGGCCUGAGAGGGUGACCGGCCACAUUGGGACUGAGAUACGGCCCAGACUCCUACGGGAGGCAGCAGUGGGGAAUAUUGCACAAUGGGCGGAAGCCUGAUGCAGCAACGCCGCGUGCGGGAUGACGGCCUUCGGGUUGUAAACCGCUUUCGCCUGUGACGAAGCGUGAGUGACGGUAAUGGGUAAAGAAGCACCGGCUAACUACGUG